AGGCAAUGCUAAGAGGGUAAUAAUGUGUCUGUGGCUAUAUUAUGCGCUGCGCUGUGUGGUGGCGAUGGUGCUGCUGCCUGGUGGUUGAUGGCAAUUGGAAUACAACAACAACAAAAAGACAACAACAGCGAGUGAAGUGAGUAAACAACAACAACAAUAGGCGUAGCAAUAAGAAUAUAGCAAGCAUCAGACAAAAGCACAAGCAAUUGGACUGUGAAAGGAGCAAAAAUUGACGAAAGAGAGCACAAGGAUGUGCGGCUGCAUGUGUCUGUGUGUGCGUGUGUGUGUGUAAGGAUAACAGCGUUGUUUUUGUAUGCUCAGUUGAAAGAGUGAAAGAGAUAAGAGAGCGAACAGCAAACAGCGAAAAGGACCACGCUUCGUUGGAUAUUUGCAUGACAUUUGUUGUGUAUUUAAGGAUUAACUGCUUCAAUGGCUGCGUAGAGGCGCAAGAGUGCAGACAAAUAGUUAAAGAGAGAGGGGGCGAAUAGGAGAGGGUGUGUGAGAGAGAGCGAGAGAGUCUAAGCAGCGAAGUGAGUCUUAAUGAUGUUAAUAAUUAAGUUAAAAUAAAGAACUUGCUUAUUGAGUCGGA